UACAGAGGGUGCGAGCGUUAAUCGGAAUUACUGGGCGUAAAGCGCGCGUAGGCGGCUUCGCAAGUCGGGUGUGAAAUCCCCAGGCUUAACCUGGGAACUGCAUUCGAGACUGCAUUGCUAGAGUAUGGGAGAGGGAAGUGGAAUUUCCGGUGUAGCGGUGAAAUGCGUAGAUAUGGUGGAGGAACACCGAUGGCGAAGGCAGCCCCCUGGGUUAACACUGACGCUCAUGCACGAAAGCGUGGGGAGCAAACAGG
rnacentral:rRNA from 1 species